rnacentral:lncRNA from 1 species
CGGGCGGCGGUGGAGAGCGAAGAGGCGGGAGCGGGCGGGAGAGGUACGGCUGUGCUGCUGCUGCUGCUUCGUUGGCUGUGGUUAAGACGACCUGGAGAGGGAAGCGGGGCCUAGGAAGGACUCUAAUCAUUCUUUUCUUGGUUUGCCCACCGGCUCCGCCUGAAGAUGAAUGAAUUUAAUUGCGAACACACUGUGCUCCGUCAGCGAAGCCAAUGAAAUAAAACCUCCAGGCGAUACCCCGCUGUGUCUGAGGGCUCGGAACCCAUGCUGCUGGCCCGGUACAAGCGCUGCUUGUUCCAGCAUCAGAAGCAAGAUCACAGCACACCUGGCUCCAUACUCAAGGUCAGGCUGGAUGGGGCUCUGAGCAACCUGAAGUAGCUGUAGGUGUCCCUGUUCAUUGCAGGGCAGUUGGACUAGACGGCCUGCAAGGAUCCCCUCCAACUCAGAUGGCUCUAUGAUUCUGUGUUGAACAUCAGUCCUAGCGUGGACCAAGGUGGAAGUGUGUCAUACAGCGUAAGAGAUGAAGCUGACCAAUAAAACGAAGAAAACCCUGCAAAAACGUCUGUCUCGUUGCCACUGUUGAUGUCAGAUGCUGUGAUAUGAGCUUGUGGAGUCAGAGCAGUAAUUCACCUGGCACUCGCUCUUGUGAAGUCAUGAACAUCUUGUUCAGAGAAGAAACAGAUCAGUCUCAGCUUGAGGAGCCCCAGCCUGCAGUGUCUGCUUCUCUUUCAAAUUCUUUGGGCUCCAACAGAAGAACAAAGGUGAAGAAGCAGCCCAGGCUAUUACACCUUUAAGCCUGUAUUAUGUUUCCAAUGUUAGAGCUCGGACUAUGGUUUGGAUCCUAAAGCUAAACUGAAGGCUGAAAAUUGCAAAAAGCAGAAGAAAGCUAGAUGUAAUGGCAGAUGGUUAGCUCAUCCCAUGAAAGAUGUCUGCACCAUAAAGCUGGGUUCUGAAAGAGCACAGCGUUCCUCUGGCUAUAUGUGCAGUGCGGUGCUGAAGUCAAACGAUGCUCAGAAAAUCCAGGAAAAGUGCUGUGAUGUGGAUUGAAGUUGUCACAUGACUCAGUGGGUCCUAAUGGCAAAUCUGUUAAACUUACCCAAGCAGAUGCAAGUAACUUAACAGGGCUUCCUCCACAGAGGUGUUUUCUGUCAUCAAGUGCCUGGAAACGGCGCAAGAAUUCCUCCAGGGGAAACUUUAUCUCUUUUGGUGCAAGAUGUAUUCAUCACCACUUGAAAAUGAGCAGGUUGCUUCCUGAGAAGGAGUGCUGCAUAGCCAGAGAUGCCUUUUGCCAGUUAGGUCCUGAGACUUCUAGACCUUUUAGCCAGCUUCACCUCUGUAACUGCAUCCUAGUAUAUAUGCUGUGUGGGCAAUAUUGGUCAUCAAACUCCACUGGAGCAUGGAGCUGGUGCAGACUGCAUGGAGAGUCAG